rnacentral:misc_RNA from 1 species
GAUGAAGAACUCAGCGAAAUGCGAUACGUAAUGUGAAUUGCAGAAUUCAGUGAAUCAUCGAAUCUUUGAACGCAUAUUGCGCUCUCUGGUAUUCCGGAGAGCAUGCUUGUUUGAGUAUCAGUAAACACCUCAACUUCCAUAUCUUUUUUGAAAUGGGAGUUGGACUUGAGUGAUCCCAACGCUUUUCCUCACCGAAAAGUGGCGGGUUACUUGAAAUGCAGGUGCAGCUGGACUUUUCUCUGAGCUAUAAGCAUAUCUAUUUAGUCUGCCUAAAAAACAGAUUAUUACCUUUGCUGCAGCUAACAUAAAGGAGAUUAGUUCUUGUGCUGACUGAUGCAGGAUUCACAAAGACGGCUUCGGCCGACUUUGUAAACUCGAUCUCAAAUCAAGUAAGACUACCCGCUGAACUUAAGCAUAUCAAUAAGCGGAGGA